ensembl:lncRNA
CUCUCUCUCACACACACACACACACACACACACACACAUAUACACAUGCCCGCACGCACGCGCGCACACACACACACACACACACACACACACACACACACACACACACACACACACACACACACACACACACACACACACAGGGGUUUUAUAAUAGAGAGACAGAGAGAGAGACGCAGAGAGAGACAUUAACAACCACCAGUAGAUUAGGGUCCAGAACCAGUAGAUUAGGGUCCAGAACCAGUAGAUUAGGGUCCAGAACCAGUAUAUUAGGGUCCAGAACCAGUCGGUUAGCGUCCAGUACCAGUAGAUUAGGGUCCAGAGGCAGUAGAUUAGGGUCCAGAACCAGUAGAUUAGGGUCCAGAACCAGUAUAUUAGGGUCCAGAACCAGUCGGUUAGCGUCCAGAACCAGUAGAUUAGGGUCCAGAGGCAGUAGAUUAGGGUCCAGAACCAGUAGAUUAGGGUCCAGAACCAGUAGAUUAGGGUCCAGAGUGAUUAAGAACGAGGUGGUCUGGAGGCAGGGAUAAAUCACACAUUAAAAUCAAACUCAUUUACUACCCUGAUGUCAGGGAUUACAGAAAGAUACUAAUCAAAACCCAUUGUAAAUGUAAUGAUAGUAAUGUACUGUUUUCUAGCAAUCACUCAUUAUUGCUUACUUUUUGGUUUCGCUAAAAACCACUGCUUCCCGACAAAUAACCGCUGAUACCACACUCCCACAUUACACUGAGUGGACAAAACAUUAGGAACACCUCUUUCCGUGACCUAGACUGACCAGGUGAUUACAGGUGAAAGAUAUGAUCCCUUUAUUGAUGUCACUUGUUAAAUCCACUUCAAAUCAGUGUAGAUGAAGGGGCGGAGUCAGGUUAAAGAUGAAGGGGAGGAGUCAGGUUAAAGAUGAAGGGGAGGAGACAGGUUAAAGAUGAAGGGGAGGAGACAGGUUAAAGAUGAAGGGGAGGAGACGGGUUAAAGAUGAAGGGGAGGAGACAGGUUAAAGAUGAAGGGGAGGAGACAGGUUUAAGAUGAAGGGGAGGAGACAGGUUAAAGAUGAAGGGGAGGAGACAGGUUAAAGAAGGAUUUUAAGCUUUGAGACAAUUGAGAUGUGGAUUAUGUCUGUGUGCCAUUCAGAGGGUGAACGGACAAGACAACAUAUAUAAGUGACGUUGAACGAGUUCUGGUAGUAGGGGCCUGUUUGAGUGUGUCAAGAACUGCAAUGCUGCUGUUUUUUUAAAUACCCUCAACAGUUUCCUGUGUGUAUCAAGAAUGGUCUACCACCCCAAAGGACAUCCAGCCAACUUGACACAACUGUGGGAAGCAUUGGAGUCAACAUGGACCAUGCAUCCCC